UACCUGCAGCUCUAGUUGGUGUCCGCUAUUAUUGGGCCUAAAACGUCCGUAGCCGGCUUAUUAAAUGCCUGGGUAAAUCGUACGGCUCAACUGUACGAAUUCCGGGUAGACUGAUAGGCUUGGGACCGGGAGAAGCUAGAGGUACUUUUGGGGUAGAAGGUGAAAUUCUGUAAUCCUAGGGGGACCACCAGUGGCGAAGGCGUCUAGCUAGAACGGGUCUGACGGUGAGGGACGAAGCCCUGGGGAGCAAACGGGGAUUAGAUACCCCGGUAGUCCAGGGUGUAAACGCUGCUUGCUUGAUGUUAGUUGGGCUCCGAGCCCGAUUAGUGUCGGAGAGAAGUUGUUAAGCAAGCUGCCUGGGAAGUACGGCCGCAGGGACUGAAACUUAAAGGAAUUGGCGGGGGAGCACUGCAACGGGUGGAGCGUGCGGUUU
rnacentral:rRNA from 1 species